CACAGUAUGCGGAGCAACAUGUGCCGGAACACAGCCAAAAGAGCGAGCAACGCAGUGCAGCCUGUGAGUGGACGGCGGGACAAACAAAGCUGUUGCUCGACUACUACCAGAAGUAGUUUUCCUAAAUAGGGCCAAUGAAGAAAUUUAAAAAUAAAAAGGCAAUGUUUGCCAAAAUAGUGGCCAACAUCA